GAUGAACGCUGGCGGCGUGCCUAAUACAUGCAAGUCGAGCGAACAGACGAGGAGCUUGCUCCUCUGACGUUAGCGGCGGACGGGUGAGUAACACGUGGAUAACCUACCUAUAAGACUGGGAUAACUUCGGGAAACCGGAGCUAAUACCGGAUAAUAUAUUGAACCGCAUGGUUCAAUAGUGAAAGACGGUUUUGCUUUCACUUAUAGAUGGAUCCGCGCCGCAUUAGCUAGUUGGUAGGGAAAAGGCUUACCAAGGCGACGAUGGUUAGCCGACCUGAAGGCGACGUCGGACACACGGGAAGUGAGACACGGUCCAGACACCUACGGUGGGAAGCAGUAGGGAAUCUUCCGCAAUGGGGGAAAGCCUGACGUAGCAACGCCGCGUGAGUGAUGAAGGUCUUCGGAUGGGAAAGCUCUGUUAUUAGGAAAGAAGAAAUGUGUAAGUAACUGUGAACGUCUUGACGGUACCGAAUCAGAAAGCCACGGCUAACUACGUG
rnacentral:rRNA from 1 species